rnacentral:rRNA from 1 species
GAUGAACGCUGGCGGCGUGCCUAAUACAUGCAAGUCGAGCGAACGGACGAGAAGCUUGCUUCUCUGAUGUUAGCGGCGGACGGGUGAGUAACACGUGGAUAACCUACCUAUAAGACUGGGAUAACUUCGGGAAACCGGAGCUAAUACCGGAUAAUAUUUUGAACCGCAUGGUUCAAAAGUGAAAGACGGUCUUGCUGUCACUUAUAGAUGGAUCCGCGCUGCAUUAGCUAGUUGGUAAGGUAACGGCUUACCAAGGCAACGAUGCAUAGCCGACCUGAGAGGGUGAUCGGCCACACUGGAACUGAGACACGGUCCAGACUCCUACGGGAGGCAGCAGUAGGGAAUCUUCCGCAAUGGGCGAAAGCCUGACGGAGCAACGCAGCGUGAGUGAUGAAGGUCUUCGGAUCGUAAAACUCUGUUAUUAGGGAAGAACAUAUGUGUAAGUAACUGUGCACAUCUUGACGGUACCGAAUCAGAAAGCCACGGCUAACUACGU